AAUCAGGGGAAUUUUCAUCCCAGGGAGGUAAUACCAGAUGAAAUACAUUCUUACAGUUGAGGUUAUAUCCUUUAGUGACGGCUAUUUUAGAUGUAGAAAUACCUUGAGGAUAUCUCUGGUUACAUUCAACUUUCAUCUGGG